GCUGUAUCAGAUGGGCUACACCUGUACUGGGCUUCUGAAGCCUUCUCAGGUGUGACGUGGGGUAUUCCCCUUCCCCUGGGCAGGGCACAACAGCAAAGCCGAAUUUGUGAGGAAGACGCUUGCUGGUGAUACCUCUGUGAUUCAACAAAAUCCCAGAUCAGCUGAGGGAUGCCUGAAACAGGAAUUUCCAUUUGAAGUGUUGGUUCCUGGACCAUUGACUUUUGUGGAUGUACUGACUGUGGGACCUGAGGAGAGGGACUACAGUUACAAUAAGCGUGUGGUGGAAGAGGUGUGCUCCAAGCUGUAAUCUCCCACGAGGCAGCUGAGUGUGGGCUCUUACCUGCCCCUUGUGAGGAAACGCGUGUUGCUGGUACGAAGGCUUUUUUCCUCCUAGUGGCUGCGGGCUUGAGGGAGAAUGGGGGCAGAAACCUCUUGCCCUAAUGCUGCCUUCAGCUGCAUGCAGAAUAAGAUCAGUUUUCAGGUCUUGGCUCCGUGUGAGCGGGCGGGGGCAGCGCACGGUGGCACGCCGCCCUGGCAUCGCUCCUGACGUGGGGUACUGGGACGGCUCCUUACGGGGGGAGAAGGUGGUUUACUUUGGCUGGGGCUGCUACGCGGUGUGUGAGGCUCCACACAAAUGCUGCCACUUGGAACUCAUUUUGAAGCUUGUCUGGUGAUGAUGUCAGGCUGUUUUGACAUGGCACCUCUCUGUAUCCCACUUCUAGGAUAAUUCAUUAAAAUAAAGUAAGUUAAGCCACUGACUGACCAAACAGGCUCCUACUUCAUCACCAAGCAAGUGAGUAACGUUUCUGUGCUGCAGUCACUGGCUUUCUUUCCAAGUCAGCUCCAAACUCAUUUAAUUAGAGAAGAGAAGCUGAUGGGAUGACUGGUGAUGGGAGGAGAGGUGUUAGCAGAGGGAGACAGGGCAGAGAGGUUUCUCUCUAAGACGCCUCCCUUUCCUUCUCAGCAUCUCCUCCAGCUGUCUCAUGCCCAGAGUGUUCAGAGCCUUCCCUGGUUCUUGCCACCACCAGGACGGGAGGACAGGCACAGCUCUGCCGUUCGCGCUGCCCAGAGCGAAACUGCGGAGCUGGAAAUUGAAGGGUCUUGCAGAGGACGAGAGCCCCUGCAGGGAUCCCGCUGCUCAUCCUCAGCUCAGCCAGCAGAGGCACUUGAAGCCAGGCGGUUCUGGUGCAGGCUGAGCCGCGCAGCUGCAGUCUGCUGCCUGCGCUGGGGAGGUCAGGGCCAGUGGGGUAACUCACCCCAGGCAGUUCCUAUUAUUUUAUUUGGAAAGGGGCCACUUGCUGUUGUUCAGAUUGAGUUCACUUAGCAUGAAAGUAGCAACGUUUCAGUGCAGCUACCACCGAGCAGUCGAAGCAGUGGAGGCCGCUGGCCUCCUUUUCUUGUGGUUUGUGUGCAGAGGCUGUCCUCUAUGUAGGGCGGCGGCAGGCAGCUUGCGCUGAAACGUUUCAGCUGAACGUCUCCCAUGCAUCGUCUCUGUGGCUGCAUUUCUGUAAGCACACACAUUUUGUAAUCAUUUUUUUUAAAUUAUAAAAAACGUUUUUUCUAGAUAGAGCUGCUGUGACUACCAAGCAGUGCGCUUUGUUCGGGCUGCGGCUUCAAAGCAGCGGCACUGGUUCAAGGAGAAAGCGUUAAAUCAGCGGCGCGCCAGGCAGGACAGCUGCCGCAGAAGCUUUUGUGUGUCAGCAUGCGUGCCUUGCGUUUCGCUGCUCUAGAAAGGCCUCAGGACGGAAAGGCACUGUGCACACCUACGUAGCUUCCUACACCGCAGUGAGGGCCGCUCCUCUACAAAUGGAGCACCUUCAAAUGGACUGAGCUCUGCCACGGCACGCAGGUCUGCUGCUUCUCUCAGCAUCCGCAUCAAAUAGACUUUAAAAGGCUUUGCACAUAACUUAAACUGUAUGCAUUGACGACCAUCACAUGCCUCUCAAAAUCAUGCCCUUUUCUGUCACAAUCAGACAACUAUAUCUGAGGAAAAAUAAUUUUGAACUUGGUGUGGAAGGGGUGAUUAUAGCUGUAACCUGGGAUUCUUGCUCCAGCAGUUCCUACCAGUGAUGUUCUUGCUCUGUUAGUGCAGUUGACUUCAGCAGCCUGAGUUUCUCCCAGAGGCCUGAACAGCAGAGGAACAAAUAGCUUUGAGUAAUACCAGCUUAAACUGAAAAUGAAUAGAAGGAAUAAGAAGUAUUCCCAUUCUUCAAGUGAAAAUAUUAACACUACAAUAAGAAGAAAGAAGCCUUUAUUUUUAGUCUUCAUAAAGCAAGUGAACAUUUGGAAAGUUCUGCAGCUUGUGGAACACUUGCUCUUUCAGCAUUGAUGAUACUGAAGAAAUAACAAGGCUCUGAAGUGUAGAAAGUUGUGUCAAUAGAAAUCUCAAGAGUCCACAAAUGAGAGGUCUCAAUGAAAUGCAUACAGUAGAAAAGUGAAUACAAAGAAAAAGAAUGACUGACUGCUUGUUGGGUCCAGUCCUUUGAAAAGUUAAGUCUUGUUAUUCCCUCAGUAGAAAUGGCUGAAAACAACCUGUUUCACUCGAAUUAAGGAAGCUGAGCAUUACUGCAGCAAGUUAAGAAAAACCCUGUUGACUUCCUGGAAACUGAAAGAAUUUUUUUUGAAGAAGUAGUUGUCUCUGACAUCACUAAACUGCAUAGCAAGUUUGUGAGUGGUUAGUUUGGGGGUAACAGAGGAAGCGACUCCUUCACAGAUAAGCAGGCAGUAUAAUUGAGAGACACAUGCUGCUUCAUAAGGAUACGCCUGAUUUCCAGAAAUAACCAUGUUUUUGUGGCUUAAGCUCUUGGCGUUUGGCGUUGCCCUCCUGUGUCAGGAUGCUUUUGUCAAAGCAGGAAAUGAAACUGCAACAUCUUCCAGCACUCCCCCCUCCCCUACGCCCGCACGCUCCACGUCACUCUCACCUUCAGGCACCACUAAAGCAGGAGAUGAAAAUCAGGCACCUACCAGCUCUUCCCCCUCCCCUUCGUCACCUCCACCCUCCACGUCACUCUCACCUGCAAGCACCGCUAAAGGAGCUCAGAACGUGACAACACCAACUAAUGAUAACAAAACAACAUCCUUGCACAGCACCACCUCACCAGUCAGCAUGCCAGCAAGCACGGGGACCACCCCCAGUCAUACAAUAGAAAGUCCCUCAGUGCCAACUGAAGAACCUUGUGGUAAGAACCAAACCCCUUAUUUAUCUCAGCCCUGAUAUUUGAACAUAUCAGUAAACUCAGGGAAAAUUUAUCACUAAAACAAAUGAGCUACCAUUUCAAUUUGCUUUAUAAACUGUCUCAUGCUUCUGAAAGAUUUGCAUUAAAGUUAUUAACAGUUCUGAUCUUCUCAUC